AACCUGAGGGUUCUUACUACAGGCUGUUCUUACAGAAAAAAAGGAGGCAGAGUAAACCCACCCACAUACACCCUAGCCCAGGCCCUUUGCCUGUAUUGUGAAUAGGGGACAUGG
rfam:Mustela putorius furo unplaced genomic scaffold scaffold00066, whole genome shotgun sequence.